rnacentral:rRNA from 1 species
UGGCUCAGAACGAACGCUGGCGGCAUGCCUAACACAUGCAAGUCGGACGCUCCUUGGGGUUUCGGCCUCUGGGGGAGUGGCGGACGGGUGAGUAGCGCGUGGGAACCUGCCCCUUUGUGGGGGAUAACCGAGGGAAACUUCGGCUAAUACCGCAUGCGCCGGGAGCGAUCCCGGGAAAGAUUUAUCGCAGAGGGAGGGGCCCGCGUCGGAUUAGGUAGUUGGUGGGGUAAGAGCCCACCAAGGCGGGGAUAAGUAGCGGGUCUGAGAGGAUGAUCCGCCACACUGGGACUGUUUCUCGGCCCAGGGACCUACGGGAGGCA